GCAAACGUCAACUCUCAUUCAGAGUUAAUCAAGCCACACCUCCAUUAACGUGCAGACAGACGUCAUUUUUUUUAAUCGAAACAGACCACAUGCGGACGCCAUUUUACUUCGCUGGAAGAGUCGUGCCAGGAGUUCAGGUGCUUAAUCACAAUGAUUGUCAAAGCACAAUUUCGGAAUAGGAAGAAAUUCAUAAAAAUCUCAGAGGCGUGCUUUGAUUUAUUUCUAGCAGAGGUGAAAGAGAAGUUCUCAAUUCCAGACGACCUUCCUGUUACAGUUACAGAUGAAACUGGUACAGAGGUGGAUAAAGAUGUGUUUCCUGAUCUAAUGUCCACCAGUGGGUUGGUUUUAGUCAUAAAUGAGUUGACUGACAUUGGAUCUUCCACACCUCAGUCAGCUUGGAUACAGAUACACUGUGUCUAACUUCAAAAAGCAGUGAAGAGAGUGACUGGUUUAGUCCAAAACGAUUCAGAAAGGAUGAUGAUGUGGCAUCACAACGAGCACAGGCCAGAGAUCUGAUAAAACAAAUUCUACAGACAAGACCAGGUGGAGGAAAUGUUCUUAAGGAGUUUGAAGAUACAGGCACAAUUAGUGAUGACACGAGAAAAGUGAUGGUGAACAUCUUAGUUGCACACAUGAUGGAGAC